ACCUUUCAGUUUCCUUCUCCAUCAGUUCUAAACACUGGUCUGAAUGGUUACAAAAGUAAGAAAAGUAACCAUGAAAUUUAUUUCAAAGCUUUUAUAGCAUAUGGGUUUAUUUCAAGCUGUU
rnacentral:snoRNA from 1 species